rnacentral:misc_RNA from 1 species
GAUGAAGAACGUAGCGAAAUGCGAUAAGUAAUGUGAAUUGCAGAAUUCAGUGAAUCAUCGAAUCUUUGAACGCACAUUGCGCCCGCCAGCAUUCUGGCGGGCAUGCCUGUUCGAGCGUCAUUUCAACCCUCGCAGCCCAUCUGGGCAGCGGUGUUGGGGACCGGCACCACCGGCGAAGCCCUUAGGGGCCCAGCCGGCGCCGCCCCCGAAAUACAGUGGCGGUCUCGCUGCAGCCUCCCUUGCGUAGUAGCACACCUCGCACCGGAGCGCAGCGCGGCCACGCCGUAAAACCCCCGACUUUCUGAGUUUGACCUCGAAUCAGGUAGGAAUACCCGCUGAACUUAAGCAUAUCAUAAGCGGAGGA